rnacentral:rRNA from 1 species
AUGGGAAAGAUGGAAGAUUUUGAAUCUUCACUGCAGGUCCUGCGCGGAUUUGAAACUGAUAUCUCAGCAGAAGUAAAUGAAAUAAAGAGAUCAGUUGCCUCAUCUAGGAGGAGGACAACCAUACGAUUUGCAGAGAUCAAACACAAGAGAUAUAGUGUUCCUCUUAUGAUAGGAAUUGGCCUCCUUAUAUUUCAGCAACUAAGUGGUGUCAAUGGCAUUUUCUUCUAUGCUGCAAGUAUCUUCAAAGCUGCUGGUCUUAAAAACAGUAAUCUCGCAACAUGUGGUUUGGGGGCUGUUCAGGUGGUUGCUACUGGAAUCACAACCUGGUUGACUGACAAAGCUGGUCGACGGCUACUUCUCAUUAUCUCUGCUACAGGGAUGACAAUCAGUCUUCUCGUUGUUUCUGUGUCAUUUUUGUGA